rnacentral:tRNA from 1 species
GCCUGGGUGGCUCAGUCGGUUAAGCGUCUGACUUUGGCUCAGGUCAUGAUCUCACGGUCUGUGAGUUCGAGCCCCGCUUCAGGCU